AUGCCUCUGCCGCAGGAUUUCGGAUCUUGGAUCUUUUAAGUGAAUUGCACCCGGCUUGUGAACGUCUGCCCGAAGUUCCAAUUCGCCGGGACAAUGUUGGGGAAGUCGAGAGUCACGCCGUCGCUGGUGGUGACGCGGAAAGAGAGCGCCUGCCUAUUGAGGUAGCUGUUGGACUGCCAGUUAGCGCCCCAGUUCCUCGACAUCGCAGUCCAACCCGUGUUUGAGCCUUUGAUUGAAACCGACUGGACCGCCCCGCUACCGCCGACGUUGCUGA
rnacentral:misc_RNA from 1 species